ensembl:lncRNA
AGGCGGCUGCAUUUUGCUGAAUGGUGGUGGUGUUUGGGGUUUUUUAAAAUCCUUUCUCCCCCAUUUUCCUUUUUACACUUUUUUUUCUUAAAAAAGAUUUUUUUUUGGUCUUUGCCCUUUUAUUCGUUGGGGGAGUGAAUGCUGUCAGUGGCGAAGUAAAAUUAGGAAGGGGCCCUUGCCCGGCUGGCGCCUUCUCUGCGCGCUGACCUGCGGGCGAGGCUUGGGGCAGAGCUCGGCGGAGGGCGGAGGCCGCAAGUGGAGGGCCAUGCAGAUUGGAUCAAACCAGAAAUAAGGCUCUCUGUCCAGAAAAAGCCUUCACUGAAAGAAAUAACGUGCUUAAGGAAGGAACGUAUAAGUCAGGAAUUGAGCCAAGAAAAGCCUGCGAAGUAAAUAUUUGGCAGGGUCCCAGUCUGAAGGGGAAAGUCUCCCGAGCAGCAGUUCUGGAGGCCAGAAUCUGAAAUCAAAGUGUCAACAGGGCUAUGCUCCCAGAAGCUUUAGGAUCUGUUCCUNNNNNNNNNNNNNNNNNNNNNNNNNNNNNNNNNCAUUCCUGGGCUUGAAGGCACAAUCAGUUCAUCUUCAAUUGCCUUCUCUGGAUAGAAUACAUUUAUAUUUCAAAAAGCAAAGGAAAUUCUGCAAAGGACUCUUCUGCCACAUCCAGACCCAGGUUAUCCAGUCUAUCAUCUUCAGUGACUUCUCUGCCAGUUAUCCUGGAUCGUCAGAUAAAUUCUUCUCUGUGGACAUUUGAAGCACGAGGAGGAAUGCAUGAUUAACUUUUAGAGAUGAGCAGUCUAGAAUACACGAACUGUAGAUUAUUAUGUCUAAAAUAUCUUUUUCUGAAGAGCAGAGGCUGUGGUCAUCGGGAUGAACAAAACUGAGUAAGCAGAUGGGAGCUGCUUCAGGGAGUGUUGGGAGCUCAAGCUGUGUGAGAGGGGCUCAAAGCCCAGGGUGCUAGAUGGUACCAGCUACUUCUGCACGGUUGCCAAUGGAAACCAGAUAAGACUCUGACUGAAGCAGACAUGCCACCUUACGUCUUCCAUGAGAAGGACCGUAGGUUUCUGGCACAGUCCAAGUGUCCAGAGGAUUGUCAACACUCGUAUCAAUGGGCCCGUAGCUCCUGGAUUCCAGGGAGCUUUUCAAAUUGUGUAGAUUUCAAAGCAAUAAGUGGAGGUAAACCAAAGCAGACACAGGCCCUCCAACAAGCUUGUCAAGUUUGUCUCAAUGUGGAGAAGCAAAACCAAACUGACAGAUUCUUAACAAUCUGGACCAAUUUUCAAGAUCUCUCUCUUACAGCCAAAGGAAUUUGAAAUUUACACCAAUCCAAGGUUGUUUUGGAGACUAUUUUUGUGGACCAAAUUUACUCAGAAGUUUUAUGAAAACAGCUACACAUUCACUUCCAACUUGAACUAGUGAAGUGCUUUAAAAUCCUUUAAAUCUGAUAAACAAUGAGAUCCUGCUGUCUAGCCUUGGGAACUAUAUCUAGUCACUAUGACGGAACAUGACGGAGGAUCAUGUCAGAAGAUGAAGGGGACCAAUGAGAGUAUUGGGGACUAAAUGAUUCUCCCGCCAAAAUACCUCAUGUGAUGGUAGAAAUAACUGGAUACAGAUGAAAUCAUGGAAAUGGGACCUACAUGCAUAAGAGCAAGAAGAUAGCCAUUGACAAGCAGCAAGAGGGUCCUCACCAGAAGCUGAAUCUACUAGCACCUUGACCUUGGACUUCCUGGCCUACUGAACGCUGAGAAAUAAAAGUCUUAAGUCUGUGGU